rnacentral:rRNA from 1 species
AAGGGCACCACAAGAACGCGUGGAGCAUGUGGCUUAAUUUGACUCAACGCGGGAAAUCUUACCGGGUCCGGACACACUGAGGAUUGACAGGUAAUCAUGUGAAAUGUUUUUUUUUUAAACUUUUUACGUAAAAUAUGCUAGUCCUUUCAUGAUUAUGUGAUAGGUGGUGCAUGGCCGUUCUUAGUUCGUGGAGUGAUCUGUCUGCUUAAUUGCGUUUCGCAUAGGACUUAAACUUAAGUGUGCUACUUUUCUUGUAUCCUUUUUUUAUCUAUUUUUUUGGUAAAAUCUGUAUUUAUGUGUUAUAAAAUUGAUUACCAUUUUUAUGUGUUUUUUCAAUAAGUAUUUAUACUAUUUUCCAUUUUUUUAUUUAAAAUGUUUACAAUUUUGAAAAAUAUGCGCACAUUAGGUCCUGAAAGCAACGAACGUGACCGCAUCCUCUUGUUGCCUUUUACUUAAACAAAUUUUUAUCAAAUAUUGAUAUUCUUGUAAUAUUUAAUAUUUAUUUUAAUUAUAAGGUUUUAACAAAAGAGUGCUUUUUAAAACUAGAGGGACCGCUGCGACUUUUUUAAACCAGAGGAAGGUUGCGGCAAUAACAGGUCUGUGAUGCCCUUAGAUGUUCCGGGCUGCACACGUGCUACAAUGAUUAUUGCAGUGAGCAUCUCAUUUUUAUAACGCUGUAUCACCAAACAACCUUUUUUUUUAAAGUUCUUUGUUUUGGUUGAGCAGUCAAGCCUGCUUCGAAAGUUCGCAGGUAAUCAAUUGGAAGUAAUGAUUUCCCUUAAUUCAAUUUUUUGAUUUUUUGAGCACACAAUAUGCUGCUCCCUUCCCUGGCAGUUAGCUUUUUUGGUCUUUCUGUCUUUCAGUGAGUUGGGAUGUUUUUCAGCAUGUGCUUUUUGUCAAUUCAUGGUGGGGACAGACCAUUGUUAAUUGUUGGUCUCGGUCUUAACUAGGAAUGCCUUGUACGGGUCUUUGGUUCAACAAACCACCCGGAAUACGUCCCUGCCCUUUGUACACACCGCCCGUCGCUCUUACCGAUGGACUUCUCUGUGAGUUUGAGGGACUGGGCAUUAUAACUUUGAUUUUUUUCUUGUUUAUAUAUAAAAUAGCCUACGGAAACUUAAACGAACAGUGUGGUCUAAAGGAAAGAGAAGUCGAACAAGGCAAAGGG